rnacentral:antisense_RNA from 1 species
UCUCUUCAAAUUCCUUCAAAAUUUUGCCUGGGUGG